UGGUGUACGAACAAGAACUGGGCAAGACCGGUGCCAGCCGCCGCGGUAAUACCGGCAGUUCGAGUGAUGGCCGCUCUUAUUGGGCCUAAAGCGUUCGUAGCCGGCCACGCAAGUUCGUCGGGAAAUCUGCCCGCUUAACGGGCAGGCGUCCGGCGAAAACUGCGUGGCUUGGGACCGGGAGACUCGAGAAGUACGUUCGGGGUAGGAGUGGAAUCCCAUAAUCCUGAACGGACUACCGAUGGCGAAAGCAUCUCGAGAGCACGGAUCCGACGGUGAGGAACGAAAGCUGGGGUCUCGAACCGGAUUAGAUACCCGGGUAGUCCCAGCUGUUAACGAUGCUCGCUAGGUAUGGCACAGGCCACGAGCCUGUGCUGUGCCGAAGUGAAGACGCAAGCGAGCCGCCUGGGAAGUACGUCUGCAAGGAUGAAACUUAAAGGAAUUGGCGGGGGAGCACUACAACCGGAGGAGCCUGCGGUUUAAUUGGACUCAACGCCGGACAUCUCACCAGCACCGACAGUGUGCAGUGAAGAUCAGGUUGAUGACCUUAUUGGAGCCACUGAGAGGAGGUGCAUGGCCGCCGUCAGCUCGUACCGUGAGGCAUCCUGUUAAGUCAGGCAACGAGCGAGACCCGUGUUCCUAAUUGCCAGCAGCAACCUUGUGUUGGCUGGGUACAUUAGGAAGACCGCCACGGCUAACGUGGAGGAAGGAACGGGCAACGGUAGGUCGGCAUGCCCCGAAUGUGCUGGGCAACACGCGGGCUACAAUGGCCGAGACAAAGGGUUGCUACUCCGAGAGGGGACGCUAAUCUCCGAAACUCGGUCGUAGUUCGGAUUGCGGGCUGAAACCCGCCCGCAUGAAGCUGGAUUCGGUAGUAGUCGCGUGUCAUUAGCGCGCGGCGAAUACGUCCCUGCUCCUUGCACACACCGCCCGUCAAAGCACCCGAGUGAGGUCCGGAUGAGGCCACCAUGCGGUGGUCGAAUCU
rnacentral:rRNA from 1 species